GGCCGCGGGAAUUCGAUUCAGGCCUAACACAUGCAAGUCGAGCGGACCUUCGGGUUAGCGGCGAACGGGUGAGUAAUACAUUGGUACUUGCCUCAGAGUAGGACAUAGCCUGCCGAAAGGUGGGGUAAUUUCCUAUAGUCUAAGUAAUUAGUAAAGCAGCAAUGCGCUCUGAGAGAGACCUUUGUCCUAUCAGCUUGUUGGCGGGGUAAAAGCCCACCAAGGCGACGACGGGUAGCUGGAUCGAGAGGUUGACCAGCCACACUGGGACUGAGACACGGCCCAGACUCCUACGGGAGGCAGCAGUGAGGAAUUUUCCACAAUGGGCGAAAGCCUGAUGGAGCAAUACCGCGUGAAGGAUGACGGCCUUCGGGUUGUAAACUUCUUUUAUAUAUGAAGAUUAUGACGGUAAUAUAUGA
rnacentral:rRNA from 1 species